UGGGGAAUAUUGGACAAUGGGCGAAAGCCUGAUCCAGCCAUGCCGCGUGUGUGAAGAAGGUCUUCGGAUUGUAACGCACUUUAAGUUGGGAGGAAGGGCAGUAAGCGAAUACCUUGCUGUUUUGACGUUACCGACAGAAUAAGCACCGGCUAACUCUGUGCCAGCAGCCGCGGUAAUACAGAGGGUGCAAGCGUUAAUCGGAUUUACUGGGCGUAAAGCGCGCGUAGGUGGUUCGUUAAGUUGAAUGUGAAAGCCCCGGGCUCAACCUGGGAAAUGCAUCCAAAACUGGCGAGCUAGAGUAGGGCAGAGGGUGGUGGAAUUUCCUGUGUAGCGGUGAAAUGCGUAGAUAUAUGAAGGAACACCAGUGGCGAAGGCGACCACCUGGGCUCAUACUGACACUGAGGUGCGAAAGCGUGGGGAGCAAACAGG
rnacentral:rRNA from 1 species